rnacentral:rRNA from 1 species
GAGCUCGUAGGCGGUUUGUCGCGUCUGKUGUGAAAAYUCAAGGCUCAACCYYGARYUUGCAUCGGGUACGGGCAGACUAGAGUGCGGUAGGGGWGACUGGAAUUCCUGGUGUAGCGGUGGAAUGCGCAGAUAUCAGGAGGAACACCGAUGGCGAAGGCAGGUCWCUGGGCCGYAACUGACGCUGAGGAGCGAAAGCAUGGGGAGCGAACAGGAUUAGAUACCCUGGUAGUCCAUGCCGUAAACGUUGGGCACUAGGUGUGGGGMYCAUUCCACGRKUUCCGYGCCGCAGCWAACGCAUUAAGUGCCC